UACGAAGGGGGCUAGCGUUGCUCGGAAUCACUGGGCGUAAAGCGCACGUAGGCGGAUUGUUAAGUCAGGGGUGAAAUCCUGGAGCUCAACUCCAGAACUGCCUUUGAUACUGGCGAUCUCGAGUCCGGGAGAGGUGAGUGGAACUGCGAGUGUAGAGGUGAAAUUCGUAGAUAUUCGCAAGAACACCAGCGGCGAAGGCGGCUCACUGGCCCGGUACUGACGCUGAUGUGCGAAAGCGUGGGGAGCAAACAGG
rnacentral:rRNA from 1 species